ensembl:lncRNA
ACUUCACUGGGAGCAUGAUUCCUCUCAGCCUGGUUAACGCUGACUCAUCCUUUCCUACUUAGUUUGGAUUUUAUCUCCUUAUUUCUUCCUUGACGCUUCUAUCCUAAUUUCUGAUAGCCCUUCAGGCUGACUUAGGGACUGUUUAGAGCAGAAACUGCUGACAGAGUGAAUUGAAUGAAACAAAAGAUGCCCAAUUACAAGACAGUGUGAGUGUGUAUGAGGGUACAUACAGGACCACAGGCAGCAAACACACAAUACGUCAGAACCCCAUGUCUGACGGGAUAAACAAUUUCAUUUGUCUAUGACAGCAGUUCAACGUAUGCAUUCUGCACUAGAAGGGAGUGGGAUAUGAAAGGAUGGGGCCCAGACAAAUGUCUGGAUGGAAAAUGGCAAGAAA